ACGCUCGACACCUACGGAGGCAGCAGUGGGGAAUAUUGCACAAUGGAGGAAACUCUGAUGCAGCGAUGCCGCGUGAGGGAAGAAGGUUUUCGGAUUGUAAACCUCUGUCUUUGGGGACGAUAAUGACGGUACCCAAGGAGGAAGCUCCGGCUAACUACGUGCCGAGNGCGCGUAGUNUGAGNGGCGNGNAG
rnacentral:rRNA from 1 species